rfam:Triticum urartu cultivar G1812 contig347136, whole genome shotgun sequence.
CUGAUACUCGCUGCGUCCAAAAAUACUUGUCUGAGAAAUGGAUGUAUCUAGACAUAUUUUACUUUUAGAUACAUGCAUUGUUAUUCAUUUCGCCAACAAGUAUUUCUGGACGGAGGCAAUACAAU